AGUCGAGCGGAAACGACAACAUUGACCCUUCGGGUGAUUUGUUGGGCGUCGAGCGGCGGACGGGUGAGUAAUGCCUGGGAAAUUGCCCUGAUGUGGGGGAUAACCAUUGGAAACGAUGGCUAAUACCGCAUAACGUCUACGGACCAAAGAGGGGGACCUUCGGGCCUCUCGCUUCAGGAUAUGCCCAGGUGGGAUUAGCUAGUUGGUGAGGUAAUGGCUCACCAAGGCGACGAUCCCUAGCUGGUCUGAGAGGAUGAUCAGCCACACUGGAACUGAGACACGGUCCAGACUCCUACGGGAGGCAGCAGUGGGGAAUAUUGCACAAUGGGCGCAAGCCUGAUGCAGCCAUGCCGCGUGUAUGAAGAAGGCCUUCGGGUUGUAAAGUACUUUCAGUCGUGAGGAAGGCAUUGAAGUUAAUAGCUUUAUUGUUUGACGUUAGCGACAGAAGAAGCACCGGCUAACUCCGUGCCAGCAGCCGCGGUAAUACGGAGGGUGCGAGCGUUAAUCGGAAUUACUGGGCGUAAAGCGCAUGCAGGUGGUUUGUUAAGUCAGAUGUGAAAGCCCGGGGCUCAACCUCGGAACCGCAUUUGAAACUGGCAGGCUAGAGUACUGUAGAGGGGGGUAGAAUUUCAGGUGUAGCGGUGAAAUGCGUAGAGAUCUGAAGGAAUACCAGUGGCGAAGGCGGCCCCCUGGACAGAUACUGACACUCAGAUGCGAAAGCGUGGGGAGCAAACAGGAUUAGAUACCCUGGUAGUCCACGCCGUAAACGAUGUCUACUUGGAGGUUGUGGCCUUGAGCCGUGGCUUUCGGAGCUAACGCGUUAAGUAGACCGCCUGGGGAGUACGGUCGCAAGAUUAAAACUCAAAUGAAUUGACGGGGGCCCGCACAAGCGGUGGAGCAUGUGGUUUAAUUCGAUGCAACGCGAAGAACCUUACCUACUCUUGACAUCCAGA
rnacentral:rRNA from 1 species